AUUUAUACAGCGCCAACAAAUUCUGUAGCGCUUUACAAUGGGAUGUUAGUUCACCUAUUGUACAGCGCUACAGAAUUUGUUGGUGCUUUAUCAGUAAUAAU